UUUGUCACGACCUAACUUCUCCACUCCACCAACUCCACCCAUUAACACAUCUAUUAAACCCACCUUCUCCACUAAUAACCUGCAAUCAAAAGAAAAGAAAAAAAAUCAGAGAGAAGAGAAGAGUAGAGAAGAGAAGGGAAGAUAAAAGAAGAGAAGGGGAGGUGAGAAGAAGGAUUUGGAGAGGUUGAGGUCGUCACCGGAGUUCGUUAUAGCCUCUACGCCCCGUGACCGUGUUGAGCUCGCCACCACCGUUAAUCGCAGGUGAUUCUGAUGAGCAGGAGUGAUUAUCGGACCGGUGCUAUUGGGCUUUUGGGCUUCUAUCGCUUUUACCGCUUUUAUCUUUAUCGGGCCUUUAGGCCUUUGGACUUUUAUCGUUUAUGUUAUUCCUAUUUCAGACUUUCGGUUUAUGUCGUAUUUUAUAUUUCGAAUGUUAUCGGUGUUGGGCUUUUAGGCCUUUUGGAAACAUAUUGACUUUUAUAUUAUGAUAUGAAGAUUAUUAUUAUUUGAGUUG